GACGGAGGGUGCAAGCGUUGUUCGGAAUCAUUGGGCGUAAAGGGCGCGCAGGCGGUCUGGAAAGUCUGACGUGAAAUCCCGGGGCUCAACCCCGGCACUGCGUUGGAAACUAUCAGGCUUGAAUAUGGGAGAGGUCCGUGGAAUUCCAGGUGUAGGGGUGAAAUCCGUAGAGAUCUGGAGGAACACCAGCGGCGAAAGCGACGGACUGGACCAAUAUUGACGCUGAGGCGCGAAAGCGUGGGGAGCAAACAGG
rnacentral:misc_RNA from 1 species